ensembl:snRNA U6 U6 spliceosomal RNA
GUGGUUGUUUCAGCAGCAUGUAUACUAAAAUUGAAACAAUACAGAGAAGACUCGCAUGGCCCCUUCACAAGGAUGACAUGUGAAUUCAUGAAGCUUUCCAUAUUUUU